GCGGCUGUAGUCUAACGGCAGGAUACCAGCUUCCCAAGCUGGUUGUCCGGGUUCAAAUCCCGGCAGCCGCA
rnacentral:tRNA from 1 species